rnacentral:lncRNA from 1 species
GGAUGUUGAGUAAUGCUGGGAAUUUACUUGGUGCCCCCAACUGUAAAUGCGGAACUUGCCUAACCAGUGAUGGAACUGUAAAUGCCUUGCCCUCACAUAUUUCAGUCAGACAUCAUGUACUGUUGUUAGCUAAUUUCAGUUAUGAUGUUGCUUAUUUUGUAGAUGAAUCUCCUUGGAAGCAACAGAUUGAGUUGGGGGAAAGGUGUGGUUGACUGAGGCAGUCUUCUGCCACUGCAACAGACACACAAGAAUGGCACUGUUCGGUGGAUGCAGUUUGAACUGUUACUCGUGUUGCCCCUCCUUCGGUUCUUCCUUGGAUGCAGUCUACUUAAGAUAGUCCCAUCUCAGAUGGAUUUUGGUACACCUUCAUACUGUGCAUGCUGUACGAUGGUUAGUGUUGUGCUCAUUCAGUUGAGUGUGUGUCAAUAUAUUUUUACCCUGCCGACGGAACCAAGAACCAUGCCAGGUACUUACACGUUUCCUUUGCUGCUGCUUUGGCAGCAGAUAUAACAUGGAAUGGAAGGUACCAGCUGCCUGCCAGCCUUUUGAUGGCACUCACAACUUGUCUAUUCACAUUCAUAUCGUGCGUGUGAUGGUUAGUGUUUCAGUCAUUCAGUAUUAUUGUAGUAGAAAAUAGUCGGACCCUGACCGGCAGAACACAUCUCCUUUUCAGGUCAGGAACCAGGCUGCAUCUUCUGAAGAAAUCAACACUUCUCAUGUUGUUAACUGAAGAAAUUGACAGCCAGCGAUUGGCGCCAAAUUGGGUGGGCUCAUCGUCGACUGUCCGACCUCUAUCCAACAGCAACUUACCGCCUUGCCCCUAGUUACGACACACACCACCCUGAAGAGUGCAUCCAACGGCUCUGAAGAUUGGAGUUGUCGCCAUUUGAAUUAUUACAGUCUCCUUGUUCACCUGCUUUACAUUAGCUUUAAAGUUGAGAUUGCC